CUGACUGUCAGUUACCCUGACAGUCAGUUACCCUGACCCGGUGUCUACAGAGCCAGUGGAGGCCUACAGGAAUUUUGUCUGGCUCCAGCCAUGACCUAUUACUGCUUGUUCUCUACUGGGUACUACAGAUGAAAGAUCUGGGGAGAAAAGUCCUGGCUUUUGUGCUGUCCCCAGGCAUGCCAAGACUUGGAGGAUGAAAUCCUGUUCCUGGGCAGGCACACCCAGAAAAGCAGCAAAGGAACACCGCUAUUCCUGCUGUCACCACACCUACACAGUUCCCACCACAGGAGACUCUGCAUAUUACCUGAUCAAGCAGUGCUGCCAGGAUUUGGUUUGUCAGAGAGCGGGUGCUGUGAUUCCUGCCACCAACUCUCCCAGGAAAACACAUACUGGAGGCAUCAAAAUGGCUCAUUCAAGACAUACUACAGAGCCAUCACCAAAACAGCAAUUAUAUGGGCAUAAAAGCAGUAUAGAGAGCCAACCCAAGAACAAAUCCAAGUGUCUAUAGCCAACUGAUUCUCAACAAAGAAUGCCAAAAAUAUACAUUCAAGAAAAAACAUCUUUAACAAAGGGUGUUAGGAAACACAGAUAUCUGCAAGUAUAAGAUUGAAACUUAACCCUUAUCUCUCAUCCUGUA
rnacentral:lncRNA from 1 species